AGGUCAGACCUGAGAAGAUAUACAUGUAAUCAUUGGUAGUGGUGGGAAGAAGGUAAGGAGCAUUAUAGAAGAGACAGGAGUGGAUGCUAUUGACACAGAAGAGGACGGGACUGUGAAAAUCACCUCAAGGGAUUUGUUAAGCUUGGAAAAAGCUAGAGCAAUUAUAAGUAAUAUGACAAUGGUUCCAAGUGUAGGCGAUAUAUAUAGGAACUAUGAGAUCAAGUCAAUAACAAAUUAUGGAGCUUUUGUAGAGAUAGCACCUGGACAGGAGGUACAUUUCGUUCCUCUUUUUAGCCAAGAUAUCUACUCUUCAAUUCCUAUAGAUGGGAUGUGAACUUGGGAAGUGAUAAUGCUCUCUCAUUCUUCUCUUUCAGGGACUUUUCCAUGUUAGUGAGUUGAGUUCGAAUUAUAUAGCAAAGCCAGAAG